rnacentral:sRNA from 1 species
GAGUUCUUUCCCUCCUACUAAUUGGCUU